rfam:Ornithorhynchus anatinus chromosome 7, whole genome shotgun sequence.
GGCAGUGUGGUUUAGUGGAAAGAGCCUGGGCUUGGGAGUCAGGGGUCAUGGGUUCUAUUCCCGGCUCUGCCA